rnacentral:rRNA from 1 species
UGGGGAAUUUUGGACAAUGGGCGCAAGCCUGAUCCAGCAAUGCCGCGUGAGUGAAGAAGGCCUUCGGGUUGUAAAGCUCUUUUGUCAGGGAAGAAACGGUGGGGGCUAAUAUCCCCCAUUAAUGACGGUACCUGAAGAAUAAGCACCGGCUAACUACGUGCCAGCAGCCGCGGUAAUACGUAGGGUGCAAGCGUUAAUCGGAAUUACUGGGCGUAAAGCGUGCGCAGGCGGUUUUGUAAGUCUGACGUGAAAUCCCCGGGCUCAACCUGGGAAUUGCGUUGGAGACUGCAUGGCUAGAAUCUGGCAGAGGAGGGUAGAAUUCCACGUGUAGCAGUGAAAUGCGUAGAGAUGUGGAGGAACACCGAUGGCGAAGGCAGCCCCCUGGGUCAAGAUUGACGCUCAUGCACGAAAGCGUGGGGAGCAAACAGGAUUAGAUACCCUGGUAGUCCACGCCCUAAACGAUGUCUACUAGUUGUCGGGUUUUAAUUAACUUGGUAACGCAGCUAACGCGUGAAGUAGACCGCCUGGGGAGUACGGUCGCAAGAUUA